AGCGAACGCUGGCGGCAGGCCUAAUACAUGCAAGUCGAACGGCUCUUCGGAGCAGUGGCGGACGGGUGAGUAACGCGUGGGAAUGUGCCCUUUGGUACGGAACAACACAGGGAAACUUGUGCUAAUACCGUAUGCGCCCUUCGGGGGAAAGAUUUAUCGCCAUUGGAGCAGCCCGCGUUGGAUUAGGUAGUUGGUGAGGUAAAGGCUCACCAAGCCUACGAUCCAUAGCUGGUCUGAGAGGAUGACCAGCCACACUGGGACUGAGACACGGCCCAGACUCCUACGGGAGGCAGCAGUAGGGAAUCUUGCGCAAUGGGCGAAAGCCUGACGCAGCCAUGCCGCGUGUAUGAUGAAGGUCUUAGGAUUGUAAAAUACUUUCACCGGGGAAGAUAAUGACGGUACCCGGAGAAGAAGCCCCGGCUAACUUCGUGCCAGCCGCCGCCGUAAAAC
rnacentral:rRNA from 1 species